CUUCACUACAACUUUGCAUUGAUUUUGAAUUUUUGAUGUGUAGGAUAGUUGGGAGACUUUGAAGUGGUGUCGCUAGGCAUCAUGGAGUCGUCGUUGAAAUACCAACCUUUAAACAUUUAGAAUCUAAUCCCUAACGGGAAACAGUGCAUGGUGGGUAGUUUGACUGGGGUGGUCGCCUCCUAAAGUGUAACGGAGGCUUGCAAAGGUUCCCUCAGUACGGUUGGUAAUCGUACAUAGAGCGUAUUAGUAUAAGGGAGCUUGACUGUGAGACUUACAAGUCGAGCAGGGACGAAAGUCGGCUAAAGUGAUCCGGCGGUUCUGUAUGGAAGGGCCGUCGCUCAAAGGAUAAAAGGUA
rnacentral:rRNA from 1 species